GUGCCAGCCGCCGCGGUAAUACGUAGGUGGCAAGCGUUAUCCGGAAUUAUUGGGCGUAAAGCGCGCGCAGGCGGUUUCUUAAGUCUGAUGUGAAAGCCCACGGCUCAACCGUGGAGGGUCAUUGGAAACUGGGGAACUUGAGUGCAGAAGAGAAAAGCGGAAUUCCACGUGUAGCGGUGAAAUGCGUAGAGAUGUGGAGGAACACCAGUGGCGAAGGCGGCUUUUUGGUCUGUAACUGACGCUGAGGCGCGAAAGCGUGGGGAGCAAACAGGAUUAGAUACCCUGGUAGUCCACGCCGUAAACGAUGAGUGCUAAGUGUUAGAGGGUUUCCGCCCUUUAGUGCUGCAGCUAACGCAUUAAGCACUCCGCCUGGGGAGUACGGUCGCAAGACUGAA
rnacentral:rRNA from 1 species